rnacentral:rRNA from 1 species
GAGUUUGAUCGUGGCUCAGAUUGAACGCUGGCGGCAUGCCUUACACAUGCAAGUCGAACGGCAGCAUGAUCUAGCUUGCUAGAUUGAUGGCGAGUGGCGAACGGGUGAGUAAUACAUCGGAACGUGCCCUGUAGUGGGGGAUAACUAGUCGAAAGAUUAGCUAAUACCGCAUACGACCUGAGGGUGAAAGUGGGGGACCGCAAGGCCUCAUGCUAUAGGAGCGGCCGAUGUCUGAUUAGCUAGUUGGUGGGUAAAGGCCCACCAAGGCGACGAUCAGUAGCUGGUCUGAGAGGACGAUCAGCCACACUGGGACUGAGACACGGCCCAGACUCCUACGGGAGGCAGCAGUGGGGAAUUUUGGACAAUGGGCGAAAGCCUGAUCCAGCAAUGCCGCGUGUGUGAAGAAGGCCUCGG